CCUUACCUGGGCUUGACAUGUCCGGAAUUCUGCAGAGAUGUGGGAGUGCCCUUCGGGGAAUCGGAACACAGGUGCUGCAUGGCUGUCGUCGGCUCGUGUCGUGAGAUGUUGGGUUAAGUCCCGCAACGAGCGCAACCCUUGUCCUUAGUUGCCAGCGGUUCGGCCGGGCACUCUAGGGAGACUGCCGGUGACAAACCGGAGGAAGGUGGGGAUGACGUCAAGUCCUCAUGGCCUUUAUGUCCAGGGCUACACACGUGCUACAAUGGCGCGUACAGAGGGAAGCCAAGCCGCGAGGUGGAGCAGACCCCAGAAAGCGCGUCGUAGUUCGGAUUGCAGUCUGCAACUCGACUGCAUGAAGUCGGAAUCGCUAGUAAUCGCGGAUCAGCAUGCCGCGGUGAAUACGUUCCCGGGCCUUGUACACACCGCCCGUCACACCAUGGGAGUGGAUUGUACCAGAAGCAGCUAGCCUAACCUUCGGGAGGGCGGUUACCACGGUAUGGUUCAUGACUGGGGU
rnacentral:rRNA from 1 species